UACGUAGGGGGCGAGCGUUGUCCGGAUUUACUGGGCGUAAAGAGCGCGCAGGCGGUCGUCCAAGUCGCGUGUGAAAGCCCCCGGCUCAACUGGGGAGGGUCACGCGAUACUGAUCGACUCGAAGGCAGGAGAGGGAAGCGGAAUUCCCGGUGUAGUGGUGAAAUGCGUAGAUAUCGGGAGGAACACCAGUGGCGAAGGCGGCUUCCUGGCCUGUUCUUGACGCUGAGGCGCGAAAGCUAGGGUAGCAAACGGG
rnacentral:rRNA from 1 species